UGGUAAGAUAGAAAGGGCACACGGUGGAUGCCUCGGCACCGGGAGGCGAUGAAGGACGCGGCGACCGGCGAAACGCCUCGGGGAGCCGGUAGCAGGCUGUGAUCCGGGGGUCUCCGAAUGGGGUAACCCGACGGGGGUCAUGCCCCGUCAUCUCCUGCGCUCUGCAGGAGAGGCGAACCCGGGGAAGUGAAACAUCUCAGUACCCGGAGGAAAAGAGACCAAAUGGCAUUCCCUCAGUAGCGGCGAGCGAACAGGGAGGAGCCCAAACCAGCGCUGCCCAGCAGCGCUGGGGUUGUAGGACACCCACGCAAAGGCGACACGGCGGGAUAGCCGAAUGACCUGGAAAGGUCAGCCAGAGAGGGUGAUAGCCCCGUAGGCGAAAUCCCAAAGUGCGCCGAGGGUGCUCCUGAGUACCGCGGGGUAAGGGGAAUCCUGCGGGAAGCUGCCAGAACCAUCUGGCAAGGCUAAAUACUCCCCGGUGACCGAUAGUGCACCAGUACCGUGAGGGAAAGGUGAAAAGAACCCCGAGAGGGGAGUGAAACAGAACCUGAAACCGUGUGCCUACAAACGGUCGGAGCCUCUGCCGUGCCUUCGGGCGCUGCAGGGGUGACGGCGUGCCUUUUGCUUAAUGAGCCAGCGAGUUACCGUCGGCGGCGAGGGUAAGGCUCUGCGGAGAGCUGCACCCGUAGCGAAAGCGAGUCCGAACAGGGCGCCAUAGUCGCCGGCGGUAGACGCGAAACCGGGUGAGCUACCCAUGGCCAGGGUGAAGCGUGGGUAACACCACGUGGAGGCCCGAACCGGUGUGGGUUGAAAACCGCUCGGAUGAGCUGUGGGUAGGAGUGAAAAGCUAACCGAACCCGGAGAUAGCUCGUACUCCCCGAAAUGCCUUUAGGGGCAGCCUCGUGGUGCAGUCUGCCGGAGGUAGGGCUCUGGUUGGGUAAGGGCGGGUAACACCGUACCGAUCCCAGAUAAACUACAAAUGCCGGACAGACGGUCCACGGGAGUGAGGCGGUGGGGGAUAAGCUCCAUUGCCGAGAGGGGAACAACCCAGACCACCGGCUAAGGUCCCUAACUGGGCGCUCACAGACAAAGGAGGUCGCCCUGCUAAGACAACCAGGAUGUUGGCUUAGAAGCAGCCAUCAUUUGAAGAGUGCGUAAUAGCUCACUGGUCGAGCGGGGCGGCGCCGAAAAUUCUCGGGACUAAGCGCCCGACCGAAGCCGUGGACAGAUGCUCCUGUGGAGCAUCUGUGGUAGGGGAGCAUUCGGCACCGCGGUGAAGCGGCUUCGCGAGAAGCCGUGGAGCGUGCCGAAGAGCGGAUGCUGGCAUAAGUAGCGAGAAAGCACGUGAGAAUCGUGCUCGCCGUAAGCCUAAGGGUUCCUCGAGCUCCGUUCGUCGGCUCAGGGUUAGCCGGUCCCUAAGGUGAGGCCGAAAGGCGUAGCCGAUGGGAAGCAGGUGAAUAUUCCUGCGCCACUGGCGGCGUUCGACACGGGGACGCAGGAGCGAGGUCUACCGGGGCAACUGGCUAUCCCCGGUGGGCGUAGCACACUGCCGAGAAAAGCCGUGUCUCAAAAGCCGUCGGUGACCGUACCGCAAACCGACACAGGUAGGCGGGGUGAAUAUCCUCAGGCGCGCGAGUGAGCCGUGGCUAAGGAACUCGGCAAAUUGGCCCCGUAACUUCGGGAGAAGGGGUGCCCUCUCCUCCGGGGAGGGCCGCAGUGAAAGGGCUCUGGCGACUGUUUAUCAAAAACACAGCACUCUGCUAACUCGUCAAGAGGACGUAUAGGGUGUGACACCUGCCCGGUGCCGGAAGGUUAAGGGGAGGGGUUAGCCCGCAAGGGCGAAGCUCCGAACCGAAGCCCCGGUAAACGGCGGCCGUAACUAUAACGGUCCUAAGGUAGCGAAAUUCCUUGUCGGGUAAGUUCCGACCUGCACGAAUGGUGUAACGACUGGAGCACUGUCUCAGCCACGGGCUCGGCGAACUUGUGGUACCGGUGAAGACGCCGGUUACCCGCCACGGGACGGAAAGACCCCGUGCAGCUUUACUGCAGCCUGGUAUUGAAUCUGGCGGUACCAUGCGUAGGAUAGGUGGGAGGCUGCGAAGCCCCGGCUCCGGCUGGGGUGGAGCCACCGGUGAAAUACCACCCUUGGUGCCGUUGGGUUCUAACUCGGCGGAGUGGAUCCGCGAGGACAGUGCCUGGUGGGCAGUUUGACUGGGGCGGUCGCCUCCUAAACGGUAACGGAGGCUUCCAAAGGUCCCCUCAGCACGGUUGGUAAUCGUGCGGUGAGUGCAAAGGCAGAAGGGGGCUUGACUGCGAGGCGGACACGCCGAGCAGGGGCGAAAGCCGGGCUUAGUGAUCCGGCGGUCCCGCAUGGGAGGGCCGUCGCUCAAAGGAUAAAAGCUACGCCGGGGAUAACAGGCUGAUCGGGCCCAAGAGUUCACAUCGACGGCCCGGUUUGGCACCUCGAUGUCGGCUCAUCGCAUCCUGGGGCUGGAGAAGGUCCCAAGGGUUGGGCUGUUCGCCCAUUAAAGCGGUACGCGAGCUGGGUUCAGA
rnacentral:rRNA from 1 species